ACAAGUAGGCAGAGAGGCAUGAAGAGAGAGGGGGAAGCAGGCUCCCUGCCAAGCAGAGAGCCAGAUGUGGGGCUCCAUCCCAGGACCUCCCAGGAUCCGGGGACCAUGACCCAAGCCGAAGGCAGAGGCUUUAACCCACUGAACCACCCAGGUGCCCUUGUUCAUAUUUUUAAAUGAAUAAUGGUGGGUAUUAAAUAACUAUGGUAUAUAGAAUCCAAUGGAUAGGUUUUCUAAGGUAUUUUGUAGUGUCAGUAUUUGUAACAUGCCAAAAAUGACGUUCAUUACAACAAUUUGAACUUACUAUGAAAAUAUCUCAGAUGCUACCUUAAAAAUGUGUAAAAUACAUAGUAUUUCAAAAUUAUUUGGGGGAAGACAUGACCUAUUUUUCAUAAGCUGAAGGUGAAAAGAGAAAAAACUUUCAUAAGGAAAAAUUUUCAUAAAGUUAAAUUUGUUCAGUUUAAAAGAUUAUUUUAAAUAUAUCCUUUGUUAUGCCUUAGACUUAAGAUAUAUUUUGAAAUUAUGGUGUUAAUGGACAGUAGCUUUAUUUUUGAUGUGGUAGCCGUUUCUCAGGCUCCCAGUAGCUUUAUUUUUAAUGUUCUUUUCUUCAAUACUCCUUAAAAUGUUUUUAAAAAGUUAAUUUUACCAAUGCACAAAAUUCAAAACCCUGAGAGAAUCACUGGUCUAAUAGAAUGUAAAGAGGAAUGUUUAUUUUAUAAAACAGAAUAUUCUGGAAUUACUGAGGAAUGGAGAUAGCCAGUUUACUACCUAGUGUGGUGGACAUAGCCAACAAGCACUUUAAAGACAUUGAGUUUCUACUGUGAACUAAACAUCUGGAUUUAGCAGAUUAAUAAGAUUGUCCCAACCUCCAAGAAACUUAUCUUUUAGUGAAGGAGAGGAAUAAGUGAAUUAAUAAUUAUAAUGGUUAAGUGUUGAUAGAGAUACAUAAAAUUGCUGUGGAAACAUGGUUUUAAAAAUUGAAUUGCUAGGGAAUAUAGAUGAACAUAAGAAUUUAGCCAAAAUAAAAGUGCAUUUAUCCUAAAAGUAAGGCCAUUUUAAGUAGUUCAGAAUGUUUAGACUCUACAACUGCUCAAGUUGAGAUUUAUAAAGAAAGAACAAGGAGACAUGAAUAAAGAAUUGGUUUUUUUAAUCCUGAAAGUGAUGGGAAGACUAAAAGACAUUUUAAGCAAGGAAAUAAGUAAAUCAGACACUUCUUAAUAACAUCUAAUUCCUAAUUAUAUGCUCAUUCAACAAUUUUAUCUUUAACUUGGCCUCCUAUAUAGAUUCAUCCAUAGGAAGAAAUUCUUUUAGUAAACAUAAACAGAGUAGGUUACCCUGCCAGGUAAAUGUUCUACUGAAAAAUAAUGAAUUGCCAAUCUCUUCUAAAUUGGUUUGAGAUCAUGUCCAAAAUCUAACAUGUUUUAAAUAUAGUGAACAAGCCCAGUUUGGAGAUGCUCCAAGUGAGUUGCAGAUCUAAGACACUAUUAUUGAGAUCAACAAAUUAUUUCUACUUCUCGAAGUUCAGCUAAAAGCUAGUGGGAUGUCUAAAGAUUUUCUCCAUCCUAACCUAAAGAUUACAUAUCCAUCAGCUUCUCAGGUCUAUUGAGAAUUCAGUAGUCAAUGAUGAAAGUAAUUUCAUAAAAGAUGAUAAUGAUAGUUUAGAAAUCCUUAAUACAACUUCCAGAAAUGAAGAUGAAGCUCUUCCAAGCAUUCGUGAUCAACCAACAUAAAAUUUGCCUCAAACUUUGAGAUAAUACUCCUGCAACAAGAGUCAUAAAGAAUGGCUGUGCCAUCAUGCCUCUGUUCUCAAAAUGAGUGGACCCGACAGUGUGGGUGGAAAAGGAAAAAUUCAUAAUCACCUUCGGAUAAAAUUGCGCAAAGGAGUUACACUCCUUAGAAGGGCUCAGCAGAGUCUUCUGCAUGAACAAGGAUAGUUGACACGAGUGAGUUGUCUCCAUCCACUAGAAUGUAAGCUCCAAAAAAUAAGGAACCAUGCAUGUCCUGUUUGCUAUUAGAGACCUAGCACCCAGAACCAAGCAUGCCAUAAAAUAAUACUUCGUAUAUAUUGGUGGAUUGAAGAAGUUGUUGCUGGAAACAAGAAGCAACCGCGUGUAGUCAAAAUAAUUUCAAGGUUUAAUGCUUGACCAAGAUAAUAAGAACACUUGUAGUAUUGGACCAAAAUAAAAUUUUCGGGAGUUCAUCCUUCCAACCACCAUCCUUCCAACCUGCCUUGAUGGUCUCCUUGGGGCUUCAUGCCAAGAGUUGUGGUUAGGACUUCUGAACAUGUCUGUUUUCCAAUGUAAUAUUUUAAACUGCUUCAACCCCAAAGGAGAAAGUAACCCCAAGUCCUUUUAAAAGGUCUAUACAUUUUAUUUGGGAAGAGGAAGAGAAUUUCCAUGCCAUGAUUGACCUUGUCAUCAAGAUACUUUCUUUCCUCUACAGUGCCAGAACCUUCACUGUCAGCAUGGAGACGAUGGGAAUUGUGGACUUUCGAAACUGGAGAGGCAGUUGAAGGCAGAACUGGCCCUGAAGCAGAAUCUCAGGAAUUGGAUUCUUUCCAGGCUGAGCUGGAGAUUCUCAGCAAGACAUGUACUUCUCUGAGCCCCAGCUUCCUUUUAUGUUAAAUAAGAAUAAUACCUUAUAGGUUCAAAAGCAUAUCAGUGUACUUUGUAAAGUGAUAUGUUAAUUGAUGCUAUUAUUCAUUUAAAAGUAAAGGCAACAAAUAAAUAAGAGUAGGAAUUUAAAGAAUCAAACUUUGGAGGCCCUGGCCCAUAAAUCCUUGUCCUCAUCUGAGUUUUCCACCUUUCUGUUGUUAAAUUCCAUUACAUUCUUGCUCCAAAACCAAAAAUGUUUGAAAUAAUAUAAAUUGGCUGUUGGGUUUUUAAAGAGCUCUGCAAAUAUCCUGAAUUCAGUAGUCAUUCACAAUUAGAAUGUUUUAAUGAGAAGUUAAGACAACUACACUGAGAGCAUAGGAGUUUUAUUAAGGAAGAACAGAGCAAUCAUUAGGGAAUAUGCCAUUUUCAAGGAAAAGGAUCAGGCCCAAAUGGAGGGAAGCACUGGGACCUUGGAGAAUCACCAGCAGGAGAGAGAAACAGGGAGAGAAGGGUGGCGAUAACAGGACAGACAUCACAUCUUCUAGAAUUUUCCUCUUUAUGGAGGAAAUGGGGGAAAGCUCUCUUUAUUCCUCUGUCCUCAGUAAUGCUUCUAGGACCCAGAAUGCAAGCAAGUGGUAUAUAUAUAAGAUCAAGCAGGUUUUUGUGCACUUGCCUAGGAACUCAACCAUCACAGUGUUUCUGAAAGAAAAAUGUAUUCCAACUUCCAAAGAGCCAACCCUCAAAUGCAUUUUUGGAAUGCAAUCUGUUUGAAAGUGAAAUAACCAGGCAGCCUGGAUGAGUUCUCUUUUGAAAGAGUUUGCAGUGAGAAACAUAUCAGCUUCUGUGAAAAACUGUUUUCUAAUGGGAGCUGAGUCUUUUGUAGCUAUCUUAUAUACUUUCUGGAAGGAAUAUAUAAAUGAGGUGAGACAUUAAAACAUUUAGGUAGAUUUCAAGAUUUUUAAGACAGCCAUAGAAUAGUUUUGCCCUAUUCAGAUAUCCUGGAGAUCUUUUAUUGUCCCCCCCCCCAUACCCAUGAAAUCACCUAUUUACUUUAGGAUAUUACAGGGCUUCCUUAAAUAUAUCCUACGAAUCAUGUCCUUAUAAUAAAUCAUAGCAAUGUGAAAAAAAAACUCUGUAAAACAUGCAAUACUGUAUAGCCAUGCUCAUGGUUUGCUUAUUAGCCUUCUCCGGAGUAUGUAGCAUCACUUAUAAUUUAAAAAUUAAAGCAGUUUGGGGUGAGAUAAUUUCCAAAGUUCAACAAGUACUUGAACUUUUUUCAAUCAGGAUAGUUAUAACUUAGAAUUUCUUCUACAGUAAUUUUACUGAGAUAAAUGAUAUGAAUAAUGAAUUAUUCAUUACUGAAUUAUUCCAGCCUACUCAUUCCUUUUACACAUUAGCUUAUGACUGCA